UACGAAGGGGGCUAGCGUUGCUCGGAAUUACUGGGCGUAAAGGGCGCGUAGGCGGAUAGUUUAGUCAGAGGUGAAAGCCCAGGGCUCAGCCUUGGAAUUGCCUUUGAUACUGGCUAUCUUGAGUUCGGGAGAGGUGAGUGGAAUGCCGAGUGUAGAGGUGAAAUUCGUAGAUAUUCGGCGGAACACCAGUGGCGAAGGCGACUCACUGGCCCGAUACUGACGCUGAGGCGCGAAAGCGUGGGGGAGCAAACAGG
rnacentral:rRNA from 1 species